rnacentral:rRNA from 1 species
CAGCCGCCGCAGUAAUACCGGCAGCCCGAGUGGUGGCCACUAUUAUUGGGUCUAAAGCGUCCGUAGCCGGCCUAGUAAGUCUCUCGGGAAAUCCGGCGGCUUAACCGUCGGGCGUCCGAGAGAUACUGCUAGGCUUGGGACCGGGAGAGGCCGAGGGUACUCCCGGGGUAGGGGUGAAAUCCUGUAAUCCCGGGAGGACCACCUGUGGCGAAGGCGCUCGGCUGGAACGGGUCCGACGGUGAGGGACGAAGGCCAGGGGAGCGAACCGGAUUAGAUACCCGGGUAGUCCUGGCGGUAAACGAUGCGGACUAGGUGUCGGGCAAGCUAAGGGCUUGUCCGGUGCCGCAGGGAAGCCGUUAAGUCCGCCGCCUGGGGAGUACGGCCGCAAGGCUGAAACUUAAAGGAAUUGGCGGG